GCGCUAGUCGUAUAGGGGCUAGUAUCAAACCUUCCCAAGGUUUGGACCUGGGUUCAAAUCCCAGCUAGCGCA
rnacentral:tRNA from 2 species